rnacentral:tRNA from 1 species
AGCCCUGUAGCUCAGUGGGUAGGGCGCCGGCCACAUACACCGAGGCUGGCGGGUUCGAACCCUGCCUGGGCCA